UAAAAUUUCGGCCAAAUUACGUUAUUAAUUCAUUAACUUCUAGACCCUUUUAUUAUGUUGAGAUGGAUACUUUUAAUGGACGUCAGCAAUAAUAAAAUAACGAAAUACUGUAACGUUUUUCUUACGACAAUUUACUCGGUCGUUCUGUGCCUACAGAUAUACUACAUAUUCAAAAAUUACGACACAAAUCUUUUAAUCAAAUAUGGCCCUAUAACAAUAUCGCUGUUGUUUGUGAGUGAAGUAAGAAGCCGGUGUCUUCAGUGUAAUGAAUUGUUUUUUUUCAGAUGAUUACUGUAGCAGUUAUUUCUUUAAUUAUGCAAAAAGAAAUUUUUAAAACGGUCACAUUUAUUCGUGAAACUUGCUGGCCUCUUAAUAUAAUACAGAAAAGUGGUCAAAUCAAGGCUGAGAGAAAAUGUCGGACCAUAAAUUUCUACAUAACCAGCACUUUUCUGCUAUUUUUAAGUGCCAUAAUCAUUCAUUACCCUUGUUUUGGAAGUCAGAGGGAUUUUAUUAUUUGCAUUGAAAUGUUUGAGGAAUAUUUUGGCGAAUGGUCGUCUGUUCUUUACUAUUUAUAUUUGAUAGGAGUUCAUUUUUUAUAUUAUCGUCUUUUUCAAACUUGUUAUAUGUUUGUUUACGGAAUGUUAGAAGCACAUUUACAAUUCUUCUUUCUUGGAGAAUAUUUGUUGGAAACGUAUCAGACGGAUUGUUUGAAACGUUGUAAAUAUUUACAAGACACCCGAUAUCAACAAGAAAUAGGCCAAUCGUUACGUUUUUGUAUUAAACACCACAUUGCCUUAAAAAAGUUUUAAAGUGUCUAAAUUUAUCAAGUCAAUAUUUUUAAAUAAAUUAUUUAUAGGUUGGUCAAAAUGGCGUUGAAUCUUGCCUUCAUAGGUAUGCCUUUUUUUCUGGUGUUUGGGGUUUUACUUCUCAUUAGUUGUUUCACGUUCAUCAUAAAUUUUGCGGACACAAUGAGCACUAUUUUAAAAAUACGAAUAUUUAUGUUUGCUUCAAAUACUGUGUGCAUCGCUAUACUGUUAUGUUGGAUUGGUCAACAGCUCAUAGAUGUGACAAGCGAUAUUUUUGUUACUUUGUGCGGAGCUCCUUGGUACAACUGGAAUCUUGAUAACAUCAAACUUCUUUUGAUGUUUAUAAUGAAUUGUACCAAAAAUGAGAGCAUUGUUUUGGCCGGAAUACGUGCAGAUUACCAACUAUUUGUUUCCGUUCGUAGAUUAUGUAAUAUUAAUUUUUCAAUGUAAUUUCUAUUUCAGCUUUUACGAAUUUCCGCAUCGUAUGCUCUAGUUUUGUUGAAACUUCGUAAAUGUAGUCUCGUUUGAAGAAAGCAGAAGUAAAAUUGUCAAUUUCUUUAUAGUUUUUUUUAUUGAUUUUUAUUGAUUUGUUGGCUUUUGAAUGGUGAAAAAUAUGAACUGAAGUU